GCUUACUCUCAGUUGUAUUUCACAUUCGCAGUCGUUCGCACGUGCUUCCCCUAGCUCUCCGACAAUGUGACCGGUGAAUGGUUCGAUAUAGUGCCUACAUAUAAGAAUUCUCAACUCACCGUCCUAAUGUUACGUCGUAAGGAAAAAAAGAAACGAAACUUCGCGUAGAUCUGCAACGGGCGAAUCGCUUUUUCGUGGUGACGUAGUUGUGCUACAGUUUCGUGAUUUGAUGUCUAUAAAUAAAUCUCACCAGCAAUGCAUCGUUUUUUGCCAUCAUUUGAUUACAAACAUACCAUGUUGCGGGUAGAAGAAAGGAAAACUCGCUCUACCUAGUGGAUAAACCGUCGGAAAUGUGGAUCGAUAUUAUACUGACUACGUUUUGGAUCGACUUGCUAAUGGAUACGUGAUAAUUUCCUUGCUCAACCAAGCGUUCUGAAUUGCAGUGAAUAAUUGUAUAAGUCACAUUGUUACAAGACUCAAGUGCUAAUCAGUAUCAUAUUAAGCGAUAAGAGCGCACCAUCAAAGGUACACAUAGGAGGUGUAUUAUUUUAUACAGCCCAGACAGUGACGAAGAAUCGGGAAAACAUUCGUUCAACGCCUAGUGGCAAUCAGAAGUCAUCAGUACAUCUCCUCAUCACAUAGUGUGCAUCAUCAAAUGGCACGUUGGUAGCGUCGAGCUAUAGCGCAAACACGUCUUACAUCUGGCAGAUAAAAAAAAAUAAACCGACCAUCACAUAACGUUGGGCUUUACGGAACCUAUUUCCUUCUAGGCGGUAAUAUUAAGCCUCCGUUACUGCUGCAGAAAGCGAAAACUGCGUAAAUUGUAUCCCAUCGCAGAGGAAUUCCAUCGUAACUAGUCUACAGACCCCAUCUCAGAAAACCGCGCGCCGAAAACAAUGAAUGAGGUAGUCGAAUGCAUCAAAUGUAUUUGCGGUUGCAACGAACUAUCGAGGGAUCGCAUCAAAGAGAUACUGUGUAAAAAGAUCCACGGCUUUUUGAGUGACGAAGCUGCGCUCGUUAUGUUUAAAAAGUUCAUUCCAGCAAACUCUUCAACGCACACGCACAUCGAAAUUAUCCAAAGAGCGAAACAGUACCUAGAAAUGGAUAUCGACACCGAAGAACUGGAAGAAUUUGCAGAGGAUCUGGAAGAGCACUUAGAAGAUCAACUGAAGACAAAUUCCGAUACCAAGAAAGCAUUGGAAUUAGUCAUAUUCGAAUACAGUAAAAAAAUAGAAUCAUCAAAAGAUUAUGAAAAUUUCACAGCAAAUUUGCGGGAGAAAUAUAAAAGUAGAUUUAGGAGAACAUCUUGAUUUAGCAUUAAAGUAUGUAGCUUUAUUUAUUCUGAAUUACACGUAAAACGUUAAAAAGCCA